UACGGAGGGUGCAAGCGUUAUCCGGAUUCACUGGGUUUAAAGGGUGUGUAGGCGGGCUAUUAAGUCAGCGGUGAAAUCUCCGGGCUCAACCCGGAAACUGCCAUUGAUACUAUUAGUCUUGAAUAUCGUUGAGGUAGGCGGAAUAUAUCAUGUAGCGGUGAAAUGCAUAGAUAUGAUAUAGAACACCGAUUGCGAAGGCAGCUUGCUAAACGAUGAUUGACGCUGAGGCACGAAAGCGUGGGGAUCAAAC
rnacentral:rRNA from 1 species